AUAUUGCAAAAUGGGCGAAAGCCCGAUGCAGCAACGCCGCGUGGGCGAUGAAGGCCUUCGGGUCGUAAAGCCCUUUUUGAGGGGAUGAGGAAGGACAGUACCCUCAGAAUAAGCCUCGGCUAACUACGUGCCAGCAGCCGCGGUAAAACGUAGGAGGCGAGCGUUAUCCGGAUUUACUGGGCGUAAAGCGCGUGCAGGCGGAUUGGAGAGUUGGAUGUGAAAGCUCCCGGCUUAACUGGGAGAGGUCGUUCAAUACUUCCAGGCUUGUGUGCAGUAGAGGGGAGUGUAAUUCCGGGUGUCGUGGUGAAAUGCGUAGAUAUCCGGAGGAACACCAGUGGCGAAAGCGGCUUCCUGGACUGUAACUGACGCUCAGACGCGAAAGCUAGGGUAGCAAACG
rnacentral:rRNA from 1 species